rnacentral:rRNA from 1 species
UACGGAGGGUGCAAGCGUUGUUCGGAUUCACUGGGCAUAAAGAGCAUGUAGGCGGCUCGCUCAGUCAGGUGUGAAAGCCCACGGCCCAACCGUGGAACUGCACCUGAUACUGGCGAGCUCGAGGUCGGAAGGGGUGAGUGGAACUUCAGGUGGAACGGUGAAAUGUAUAGAUAUCUGAAGGAACACCGGUGGCGAAAGCGGCUCACUGGUCCGACUCUGACGCUGAGAUGCGAAAGCUAAGGUAGCGAACGGG